rnacentral:lncRNA from 1 species
UCGGGCAAAAUAGUUAGAAAAAAAAAAAAACUACUCGUAGACAUUCUCAUCUUUGAGAAAAAGUCCGAGGCAUUAUCAUUAUCUCUUUUUUUUUUUAAUUUUUUUCAUUUUUAAUUGCAGGGAAGAGAACGGGUCCAGGCUCAUCCGAUCCGUCUUAAUCCAUCUCAGGUCCGUAAGCUUCCAUUAAUUAUUCGGCAAAUUUUUUCUCGUGCUUAUAAACCGAGUGAUGCAAUUGAGUCAAACUGAAUCAAAUAGUUAGAAAUCAAAUUUAAUACGAUUUAAAAUAUUUAAAUUUAAAAUUUAAUUUGAAAUUGAUCAAUCUUUAAUAUCUAAAUUUAAACUUGAUUAGAUUAAAAAAAUAAUAAUAUUUGAGAUUGAUUUAAUUUGAC